UACAAUGUAAACCUAAUCCCUGAAAAACUUAAAUUUGCUUGUAAACCAAUAGAAAUAAAUGCUCUAAAAACAUAUCUUCUGGAUGUGAGCUGUACUUAUUGAAAGGAAUUACCAAAAUAUAACUUUUUUGUCGUCAUAAUAUUCAUUGUGUGAGUGUGGCAUGUAAAGAAGCGUCUGACAGACGGAGGCGGAAUCGAGGGCUGUCAGCUGAAUGGAGCCGACAGGAGGAAGUGGCCCCUGAUGCAGUUCCACACCUUUCCGUUAUAGCAGCGGUAGUGCGGAUAGCUCCGGUUAAAGGAGGAAGGCAAGAGCUGAGUCAAUUUAUCGAGUCUGAAGGACAAAAACAGCGUGACCAGAGUUUCGCGUACGGGGUAUUUCUGGCCACGGACAAACAGGGAUAUAUUUUACGAAGUUAUUCCCUAGUAGCGCGGUGAAGUGUCCCGACGUAAAGCUCAUGUUUCUCUCCCCCCGACAGCAGUGGAGAGAACAAGGGCGCACCCGGUGAGGAGGACCGCCACAUCCUAACACCAGAGGAAAUUCUCUUCAAGUAUCGCGGCUUUUGUUGGAGGUCCUUUUUACCCACACAGUGAAUCUUCUCUGCAGUUUCCAGUCAUCGCGGCCUGUACCUUUAUCUUCAUUUUUACUGAACAAUGAACGACCUGCAACAGCUACUGCCAAGUUCUUAGUCUGAUCGUGUCAUGUUGCGUGUAGGCCAAGAAGACAUUAUCUGAAUAUAAAUGCCCCUGCAUUUAACAAGAUCCAGACAGACUUUCAGGUGAAAAGUCAAGCAUGUGUGUAUAUUUUUGACUUUUGUUCCCAAGUAAACAAAAUAUCCAUUCACUUCAUGGUUUCACUAGUAAGUCUAUAUUGAACUGUGAGCUGCAUUCCAAGUGACCAUCAAAACAUUAUCAUAUUUUCUCCUUGGGAACAAAGUAUUUAUGCUCAAGAGUUCAAAAUGGGGAAAAUGCUGUCAAAAAUCUUCGGCAACAAGGAGAUGAGAAUACUAAUGCUUGGACUUGAUGCUGCUGGAAAAACAACAAUCCUAUACAAACUGAAACUGGGACAGUCUGUGACCACAAUCCCCACAGUUGGCUUCAACGUGGAAACUGUCACUUACAAAAAUGUCAAGUUCAACGUCUGGGACGUAGGAGGCCAGGACAAAAUCCGUCCCCUGUGGCGACACUACUACACAGGGACCCAGGGCUUAAUUUUUGUGGUGGAUUGCGCAGACAGGGAUCGCAUUGACGAAGCGAGACAGGAACUUCAUCGCAUCAUCAAUGACCGCGAGAUGAGAGAUGCCAUGAUCUUGAUAUUUGCCAAUAAGCAAGACCUUCCAGAUGCCAUGAAGCCACAUGAAAUCCAAGAGAAGCUCGGAUUGACCCGAAUCAGAGAUAGGAAUUGGUAUGUUCAGCCCUCCUGUGCGACCACAGGUGAUGGACUGUAUGAGGGUCUGACAUGGUUAACUUCAAAUUACAAGUCUUAAUGAUUGGGUGCUGACUGUUUUAGGUCAAAACUACAAUGUUGCAAGUAACAAUUUACUCUUCAAAAUGAGAAUGCUUAAAAAAAGUUGAUUAUCUCAAUUUAUUUUUAUUACAUUUAUCUUUUGACUAAUUUAUCUUUAACUGGGUUUGCCGGUUUAAAGUUUGCUUAUGUUCUGUAGCAGGCAUAUAUCACAUUCUUUAUUGCUUGGGCUUUUUGAGAUAAAAAAUGGGGUUAACUGGUUUCUAAGGUCAAAGCCACAGAGAUCACCACCUUUGCCUGUUCUUUUGUUUCUAUUUUCUAUCUUAUUUCUCUUGAGGACAUUCAUGGAUUUGAGAUGUUUCACAGUCCUUUUGACUCUCUUGGGAUAAACUUUGACAUUGAGCUCUUUACUUGUCAUGUAGCCUACUUGAAGGACACAGUACUGUGAUUUAUAGUUUUCCUUCUCUGGUAUUAAAAAGAACUGGGGUAAAUGCAAGAAAAAUAAAACAUUGCCCAUGUUUACAUGUCGCAACACAUUUUCUUACCCCAAAUACAAUUACGUGGGCUUUUCUAGUUAACUGAUUGACCUAUGUCAUGUCUCACUAUAAUGUGCAGAGUAUUAAACAAACAGGCCAUCAAUAACCUCAGCUCUGACCUCACAAUCUGAUACGACAGCUGAAAAGUCUCAGUAUUGGGACAUUAUAUGAUAGCUUAUAUCUGUAGCAUGAGUACAUAAGUACAUUAACCCAACAUCAGAGUCCAUUUGUUGGCACAGUCAGAACAGAAAGCUGUUAAGAAGUGAGAUGUUGAACAACAGCCUGUGGUGCAGGGCCUAUUUCUUAUUUGACUGGGGGAACUAUGUACAGAACAAUGUCAUUGUAAUGUCUUAUUAAAAAAGUGAUUUUAAAUCUUA